AAGGGGCAGUGACCCCAUGGGAAUCUGCGUUUGCAAGGAUAAAUGUACCGAAGUGGUUAUGUCCCUAACUCUGAGCCAGGAGACCAGGGUUCAAGUGCCACCUGCUCCAAAGGUGUGUAAUAACAUCUCUGAACAGAUUUCCAGCACCUGCAAUAUGGGACUGAAUGGAAGUCAUGUGGCACAGCGUUAGCAUCUCCGUCUCUGAACCUGAUGCACUGGCUUUGAGUCCCGCUCCAGGAUUAAAUGGCAAUGGAAAGUGUCUUUCUAAUGUGACCAAACAGGUUGACCCCAGAGGGAAUAACAGUAAAACCUGGAAAUGAGUAUAAUGGGACACCAUUUUGAUGUAUACUAAGCAAGUUGGGACAACAUGUUUUGUUUGUCAGUUUUACUAUUUUUUCCCUUUUGGGAUGGCAUAAGGUAAGCCUGUCUGACCUGAAUAGUCAGCCUUGCUUGAUGCAGAAUGGUACCCUUCAAGUUUUACCCCCUGGCAACAGGCUUAUGACCCAUUCCAGGAAAAUCUAACAAUGGAAGCAGGCUUAUGUAUGUACUUUGUCUGCCUCAUACGACUAGGUAUGAAAAGAGAAUAAAGGACAUUAGUUGAAGUUUCAGGUAAAUGUGAACACUGGCUGUCAUUGAUCCUGGUGAUUUGACAUGAAAAGUAUUUCAGAGCAGAUCAGCAAGACAUAAGUUUGCUUGAGUAUAGAAGCUUUUAAAAUAAGUUAUUUUGUAAAAAUAAAUAAUUAUGAUGAAGGUGAUAUGAUUUUCAGUCCCCAGGUGUCAGUGCAGUUCUACUGGCUGAUCCUUGUUAAGUAUUUAUGGAUAGCUUUCGUAAUCAACCUGAUCAGAGAUGUUAUGACACACUGCUAGAACAGGUGGGUCUUCAAACCCACACCUCCAGACUCAAAGGUAGGAGCACUACCACUGUGCCACAGGAUGUACCUAACUUAUACACAGAUGUAAUUAUCCUUGAAAAGGUGGUGAUGAGCUGCCUUCUUUAACCGGCAAGUAUCUGCUGGGGACAGGUGAUGAAUAUUUGAGUAGAUACUUGAGUAGAUCGCUUUCUACGAGAACAAAUUAAAAUAACAUGGUACCAAUACGUCUGGUCUUUCAGGGCCACGUUUUGUCUUGGAGAUUCUAUUGGAUUCUACUGCUGCCCCUGAAGGUAUCUGGACGCUAAAUUAUUUCCUCAGCUUUCAGAAGUUCAGGUGGCUAGAUGAGCCAAUGAAGUUUGGGCAUGGGCAAGGCAUCUCUCAACCUCACCUCCUCAGACUUCAGGAGAAAAUUUGGAUAAAUAAAAGUACUUUUUGCAACAGGCUGUAUUAGAUACUGAAAACAAAGGUGGAAACUUAUCAUUUUCAGAUCCUGUCCAAAUUCAGUGCCUUCCAAUGCACUCUCAGCCAAUUUACACUGGAAUUGCCCUUUGUGGCCAAGGGAAAUUCAGGGCUAAUUCAUCUUAAGAUUUUUCAAAAUGGCAGGUCUACCUUUACAUCACAGGAAUGACUGAAAUAUCAUAGUAAGCAAAAAAGAGUCAUCUUGUCUUUUUUGUCAAAAAGUGUCAUGAACAACCUGAAACCAUAACACACUUUAAAGGAGUGCUGGUUUCCAAACAUGUAUCUUUGAAAAUUCACCUCCACUGUUGGGAAUGAAAUACAAUGGCAAUGUGUACACAGCAAUGAAUCUUUUAUAUUUCAUAGAAGUGAAUGAACUGUUGAAUUCAUAUAAAGUGUGAAUAUAUCAUUAUGUAGCCAUGGAUACUUUUUUAGUUGAAAUUGAUCAGUGAGUCAAUAAACCAAACCAGGUUUACUGGCCAGAUGCUCCAAGUCCUUUGCGAAUUGUGUAAUAGAGACAUUGCUGCAGCAAGAAGAAGUGGCAAUACUGUGAAUUCAGGAAACAAGCGUGACAAUACUUCAGAGAGACUGUGAACUCCAUGCCAGCAAUGCAUACAGAAUGGUGGGAAGUCCAAAAGAGGUUCUAAUUCAAUCACUUCAACAACUAUAUAAAAUUAGAUCCAGUGCAUGCUAAGCAGUAUACAAGUCAAAUGAUAACAAUAAAACCCAGAGUGGCGGUUGAGAGUGUUGAGAGUGUCAAGUUCCUAGGAGUGACAAUAAUCGACAACGAGUCCUCAACUUCCCAGGUAGAUGCGAUAGUGAAGAAUGUACAACAAUGCUCUUCUAGCUUAAGAAAUUUAGCAUGUUGAUAAGGACCGUCACCAACUUUCACAGAUGCACCAUAGAAAGCAUACUAUUCAGGUGCAUAACGGCCUGGUGCGGCAACUGCUCUGCCCAGGAUUGUAAGAAACUACAGAAGUUGUGUGCACAACCCAGGCCAUCACGGAAGCCAAUCUUCCAUCCAUGGACUCUAUCUGCAUCUCUCAUUGCCCCGGAAAGGCUGCUAACAUCAUCAAAGACCCAUCCCUCCCCAGUAAUGCUCUCC